UGUUGCAAAUUAGAAUCUGUUCUCCAUUGCCUUACCAGAAUAAGUAAAGUUGUUUUUUUUUUUCCUCCAAGACAUGGCUACAUGUAUUGUUGUAUUGAAAUAUUAGUUAAUGGAAAUGGAGAGAUGGAUGCAUUAUCCGGAAAAAAAAUGCCAGUGGUUGAUCUGUGUUCCAGAAAGGAUCCCGUUUCUUGCCCUCUAGUGACAGGGAGCGCUAUCACUGUCCAUCAACGCUGGAAUGUGUUUGCUUUUCUUGGAAAAGUUAGCCAUCCAUUCAUCCAUCCAUCUUCUGUACCCAGCAUGUCAAACAUACGGCCUGCUGGCUCAAUCUGUUCUGUCAGUGGGUCAAUCCUGCCAGUAAGGACAGAGGAAAUGUGAAUUUUAUAGUAAAAGUAGCUACCAGUAUUGUUGCUAAUUUUGUCCACUGAAGAUUGUGUUAUUGACCAAUUACCACUUCAAUUACAUUCUGGAAUUUUCUGCUACUCAAGAUUGGACACCUGAUAUUGAUGCUCUUGUGAAGGGCCCCGAGAAGAUCCAACACACCCCAGAUGACUCAUGGACGGCGCGUCUGAGUUUAGAUUCUCGGCACGCCUGCAACACACAUGUCUGGAUUCAAACGCAGAAUUGGAACAGCCGCACAGCAUGGAUGCCUCGACUAUGUGUCGGCAAGGUGAUGGUUGUCAACAACGAGCUGAAUGAGUGAGCACGUGUGGCAAAGACUCUUCCCUGAUUCACGUGGACAAAAGUAUUAGAAUGGCUAGAGAGAAGGGAAGGAAUGAGUCUUCACAGAAAUGUAGCAAUUUCCUGCAGGCGUUGCCAUCAAGAACAUUCGUAAGUCACAGAUAUCCUCACAAAACAAGUGACUGUUUAGUCAUAUAUUUUACGGAUGCCAUUUGUGUUAGACUGAAUUUCAAAAUUCCCCCCUUUUUUGUUCUUCUGUUAACAUGCAUUUUAUUCUCAUUCAUGUGGGAUGGACUUCAUACACUGGUAUAUCUAUAAAUGUAAUGUGCAAAAUUUAAGAUAUGGAAAUGCUAAAUGAUUAGAAAUUGCAAAUAGAUUUAGUGUGUUACUGAUUACCAUUUUUGGUCAAACAAAACAAAACGCCAGCAUAUUGUGCUCACUCAUAAAUCAUAUUAUAUGUAUAUUACACAUGUAACAGUGUCUUAAAAAUAACUUACAGAUGCUGCUCUGUCCUUUUUGGCGUCUUUGUUUUUUUUCUGUCCUAGGCAGAUUUUUAUUUUAAUUUUUUUUGUAUUGUAUGCCUAUCUAUGCCUCCCCAGCCAUCCAUUUCUAGACCGGUUAUCGCAGGCGGCUGGAGCCUAUUCCAGAUAUCUUCGGGCGAGAGGCGGUGUACACCCUGAACUGGUUGCCAGCAAAUUGGACAUAUCUCUCUCACACAUACACACGCACGCACGCACGCACGCACGCACGCACGUACACGAACAAAUUGAAUGAAUUCCUUGACUGCCAGUUUUAGUUUCACAGAUGAAGUCCAACACAGGAACCAGCUAACCCUGACAGAUGUUUUCAAAACAGAGUUCCCCAGAUAUUUUAUUUACAUUUCAAGCCAUCCACCAAAGCCCACAAAAUGACAACAUAAGCACCCAACCUACCAUAAAAGUACUUUCUUUUUUCACCAGGUUAAAAAAAAAAAAAAAAAUUACAUUUAGUAGUAAUAACAUGGGUUGCUUCAGCAAAAACUGUUUCCUGAGCAAAACGUCAACAAAGAAAAACUG